rnacentral:rRNA from 1 species
AUUAGGAGCUUGCUCUUAUGAAGUUAGCGGCGGACGGGUGAGUAACACGUGGGUAACCUGCCCGUAAGACUGGGAUAACUCCGGGAAACCGGGGCUAAUACCGGAUAACAUUUUGAACCGCAUGGUUGGAAAUUGAAAGGCGGCUUCGGCUGUCACUUAUGGAUGGACCCGCGUCGCAUUAGCUAGUUGGUGAGGUAACGGCUCACCAAGGCAACGAUGCGUAGCCGACCUGAGAGGGUGAUCGGCCACACUGGGACUGAGACACGGCCCAGACUCCUACGGGAGGCAGCAUUAGGGAAUCUUCCGCAAUGGACGAAAGUCUGACGGAGCAACGCCGCGUGAGUGAUGAAGGCUUUCGGGUCGUAAAACUCUGUUGUUAGGGAAGAACAAGUACUAGUUGAAUAAGCUGGCACCUUGACGGUACCUACCCAAAAACCCCCGGCUAACUACCUGCCAACAACCGCGGUAAUACGUAGGUGGCAAGCUUUAUCCGGAAUUAUUGGGCGUAAAGCGCGCGCAGGUGGUUUCUUAAGUCUGAUGUGAAAGCCCACGGUUCAACCGUGAAGGGUCAUUGAAAACUGGGAGACUUAAGUGCAGAAAAG